UUAGUGGUCGGUAACCCGAGAUCCAAGUUCGAAUCCUAGUUUAUUCAUAUUUUCAGCUAAAUUUAGUUUUAAAUAAAAUAAAUGAAGGAGGUAGCAUAUUACCUAUCUCUUAAAAAAAAAAUAAAACACAAAAAAGUAAAAGCUAAAUUAUAUAAAAUUCACGUGUCAAAAUUCGAUUUUUCACUUUUUCUUCUGUCAUUUAAAAAUCUACAUUUUGUCUUUUUAUAAAAUAAAGAAAUAUUCACAAGAGGUACGGUAUGAACCGUGACAAUAAAAUGACCAUUUACUCCUCACUAUUUUGCACUUCUUUUAUCAGGUUUACAGAAGAUAAAGCUAAAGGCAUUUUUGGCAUAAAAAAUAUAUAAUAAUAUUUUAUAAACGAAACCCUAUCGGAUUACUAAAGGUAAGGGGCGAAGUGAAUUUUUUUCAUUUUAGAAGAAAACAAAAUGUAAAUUUUUAAAUGAUAGAAGGAAAAUAAAAAAUCGAGUUUUGACGGUGAAUUUUUAUGUAAUUUAGCCAAAAGAAAAAUUCGAAUUUUGACGGUGGAUUUUUAUGUAAUUUAGCCAAAAGAAAAAUUCAAUUCAAUUCAAUU
rnacentral:lncRNA from 1 species